UCAAGGGCAGGCACAGGAGGUGCGGUUGGGAGAGGCACGCUGUGCCUCUCCCAACUGCGGCUCCUAUGCCUGCUCUUGC